GCAGUCUCAGGUCGUUCCCAUGAAAUGAGAAGAUUCGUAUGUUUUCUAUUUCUUAAACAGGGAACUUAAAGAUUAAGUUAACCCUAUUCCAAAUACGCUUUUAAACUAUUCAAAUGAUGAAAGUUAUUGUUGUUUUUAAGCGUUUAUUAGCAAGUGGGAACGACCAACAUGGCCGCCAUCUAUUCAAAUGGGGGUAACCGCUGGAAUAUUAUUGGCUUCAAUUUUACUAAAAGAGAUGCGCUAUCUAGUGUAUAUAAGAUAUCUAUGGUCCUGCUCUACACCUUCGCUUUCGCACGUCCU